CGCGUUAUCCCGGCAUUUCGCCACGGCUCAUGAGAGCCUGGGGUCCGCUUGACAACUAAUCCCAUGAUUUGACGUAGGCACUAGUUUUUACGAAAGCGACUGCCAUCUGACCUUCCAACCCAGAGGGGUAAACUAGGCCUUGUUGGGAUUAGUCCGGUUUCCUCACGAUGUUU